CGGGACGGGUGAGUAAUGUCUAGGGAAACUGCCUGAGGGAGGGGGAUAACUACUGGAAACGGUAGCUAAUACCGCAUAACGUCGCAAGACCAAGAGGGGACCUUCGGGCCUCUUGCCAUCGGAUGUGCCCAGAUGGGAUUAGCUAGUAGGUGGGGUAACGGCUCACCUAGGCGACGAUCCCUAGCUGGUCUGAGAGGAUGACCAGCCACACUGGAACUGAGACACGGUCCAG
rnacentral:rRNA from 1 species